rnacentral:rRNA from 1 species
AGAGAGAGACAUGUGCGCAUAUCAAUAAGCGGAGGAAAAGAAACUAACAAGGAUUCCCCUAGUAACGGCGAGUGAAGCGGGAAGAGCUCAAAUUUGAAAUCUUAAAGGGUUUCCCUUUACGAAUUGUAGUUUAAAGAAGUGUUUUCUGUUGAAGUUUUGGUAAAAGUUCUUUGGAAUAGGACAUCAUAGAGGGUGAGAAUCCCGUAUUUGACCUUUACUUUCAACUUUGUGAUACACUUUCAAAGAGUCGGAUUGUUUGGGAAUGCAGUCCAAAAUGGGUGGUAAAUUUCAUCCUAAAGCUAAAUAUUGGCGAGAGACCGAUAGCGAACAAGUACCGUGAGGGAAAGAUGAAAAGAACUUUGAAAAGAGAGUUAAACAGUACGUGAAAUUGUCAAAAGGGAAGCGUUUGACACCAGUGUUGUUUUUCUGAAAAUCAAUUAAAGAACUGUUUAUGCUAAGUUGUUUAGACUUUAUCAGCUAACUGUUUAGUUUUGAGCUUUUCUUUAAUGCACUUUUCAGUUAACAAGUCAACAUCAAUUUCUUUUGCUGUAAAAAAGCUUGAGGAAGGUGGCUUGAGAUUCGUCUUAAGUGUUUAUAGCCUCUUGCCUAUGCAGUCGGAGAGAUUGAGGUCUGCAGCGUAGAUCCUUCGGGGCUAAAUGCAUUUGUGCUAAGUUAUAGCAUUUUAUAGACAACUUGUUGACUAUGAUUUGUCUUGUAGCUUACUCGCUUAUGUUAUUUUACCUACGCUUAGGAUGUUGAGCGCAUGUCUCUCUCU